rnacentral:rRNA from 3 species
GGUUAAGCGACUAAGCGUACACGGUGGAUGCCCUGGCAGUCAGAGGCGAUGAAGGGCGUGCUAAUCUGCGAUAAGCGCCGGUAAGGUGAUAUGAACCGUUAUAACCGGCGAUACCCGAAUGGGGAAACCCAGUGUGUUUCGACACACUAUCAUUAACUGAAUCCAUAGGUUAAUGAGGCGAACCGGGGGAACUGAAACAUCUAAGUACCCCGAGGAAAAGAAAUCAACCGAGAUUCCCCCAGUAGCGGCGAGCGAACGGGGAGGAGCCCAGAGCCUGAAUCAGCAUGUGUGUUAGUGGAAGCGUCUGGAAAGGCGCGCGAUACAGGGUGACAGCCCCGUACACAAAAGCGCAUGUGCUGUGAGCUCGAUGAGUAGGGCGGGACACGUGGUAUCCUGUCUGAAUAUGGGGGGACCAUCCUCCAAGGCUAAAUACUCCUGACUGACCGAUAGUGAACCAGUACCGUGAGGGAAAGGCGAAAAGAACCCCGGCGAGGGGAGUGAAAAAGAACCUGAAACCGUGUACGUACAAGCAGUGGGAGCACCCUUUGGGGUGUGACUGCGUACCUUUUGUAUAAUGGGUCAGCGACUUAUAUUCUGUAGCAAGGUUAACCGAAUAGGGGAGCCGGAGGGAAACCGAGUCUUAAUUGGGCGUUAAGUUGCAGGGUAUAGACCCGAAACCCGGUGAUCUAGCCAUGGGCAGGUUGAAGGUUGGGUAACACUAACUGGAGGACCGAACCGACUAAUGUUGAAAAAUUAGCGGAUGACCUGUGGCUGGGGGUGAAAGGCCAAUCAAACCGGGAGAUAGCUGGUUCUCCCCGAAAGCUAUUUAGGUAGCGCCUCGUGAAUUCAUCUCCGGGGGUAGAGCACUGUUUCGGCUAGGGGGCCAUCCCGGCUUACCAACCCGAUGCAAACUGCGAAUACCGGAGAAUGUUAUCACGGGAGACACACGGCGGGUGCUAACGUCCGUCGUGAAGAGGGAAACAACCCAGACCGCCAGCUAAGGUCCCAAAGUCAUGGUUAAGUGGGAAACGAUGUGGGAAGGCCCAGACAGCCAGGAUGUUGGCUUAGAAGCAGCCAUCAUUUAAAGAAAGCGUAAUAGCUCACUGGUCGAGUCGGCCUGCGCGGAAGAUGUAACGGGGCUAAACCAUGCACCGAAGCUGCGGCAGCGACGCUGAUGCGUUGUUGGGUAGGGGAGCGUUCUGUAAGCCUGCGAAGGUGGCCUGUGAGGGUUGCUGGAGGUAUCAGAAGUGCGAAUGCUGACAUAAGUAACGAUAAAGCGGGUGAAAAGCCCGCUCGCCGGAAGACCAAGGGUUCCUGUCCAACGUUAAUCGGGGCAGGGUGAGUCGACCCCUAAGGCGAGGCCGAAAGGCGUAGUCGAUGGGAAACGGGUUAAUAUUCCCGUACUUGGUGUUACUGCGAAGGGGGGACGGAGAAGGCUAUGUUGGCCGGGCGACGGUUGUCCCGGUUUAAGCGUGUAGGUGUGUGUUCCAGGUAAAUCCGGUUCACUUUAACACUGAGGCGUGAUGACGAGGCACUACGGUGCUGAAGCAACAAAUGCCCUGCUUCCAGGAAAAGCCUCUAAGCAUCAGGUAACAUCAAAUCGUACCCCAAACCGACACAGGUGGUCAGGUAGAGAAUACCAAGGCGCUUGAGAGAACUCGGGUGAAGGAACUAGGCAAAAUGGUGCCGUAACUUCGGGAGAAGGCACGCUGACACGUAGGUGAAGUGAUUUACUCAUGGAGCUGAAGUCAGUCGAAGAUACCAGCUGGCUGCAACUGUUUAUUAAAAACACAGCACUGUGCAAACACGAAAGUGGACGUAUACGGUGUGACGCCUGCCCGGUGCCGGAAGGUUAAUUGAUGGGGUCAGCGCAAGCGAAGCUCCUGAUCGAAGCCCCGGUAAACGGCGGCCGUAACUAUAACGGUCCUAAGGUAGCGAAAUUCCUUGUCGGGUAAGUUCCGACCUGCACGAAUGGCGUAAUGAUGGCCAGGCUGUCUCCACCCGAGACUCAGUGAAAUUGAACUCGCUGUGAAGAUGCAGUGUACCCGCGGCAAGACGGAAAGACCCCGUGAACCUUUACUAUAGCUUGACACUGAACAUUGAGCCUUGAUGUGUAGGAUAGGUGGGAGGCUUUGAAGUGUGGACGCCAGUCUGCAUGGAGCCGGCCUUGAAAUACCACCCUUUAAUGUUUGAUGUUCUAACGUGGACCCGUGAUCCGGGUUGCGGACAGUGUCUGGUGGGUAGUUUGACUGGGGCGGUCUCCUCCUAAAGAGUAACGGAGGAGCACGAAGGUUGGCUAAUCCUGGUCGGACAUCAGGAGGUUAGUGCAAUGGCAUAAGCCAGCUUGACUGCGAGCGUGACGGCGCGAGCAGGUGCGAAAGCAGGUCAUAGUGAUCCGGUGGUUCUGAAUGGAAGGGCCAUCGCUCAACGGAUAAAAGGUACUCCGGGGAUAACAGGCUGAUACCGCCCAAGAGUUCAUAUCGACGGCGGUGUUUGGCACCUCGAUGUCGGCUCAUCACAUCCUGGGGCUGAAGUAGGUCCCAAGGGUAUGGCUGUUCGCCAUUUAAAGUGGUACGCGAGCUGGGUUUAGAACGUCGUGAGACAGUUCGGUCCCUAUCUGCCGUGGGCGCUGGAGAACUGAGGGGGGCUGCUCCUAGUACGAGAGGACCGGAGUGGACGCAUCACUGGUGUUCGGGUUGUCAUGCCAAUGGCACUGCCCGGUAGCUAAAUGCGGAAGAGAUAAGUGCUGAAAGCAUCUAAGCACGAAACUUGCCCCGAGAUGAGUUCUCCCUGAGACUUAGAGUCUCCUGAAGGAACGUUGAAGACGACGACGUUGAUAGGCCGGGUGUGUAAGCGCAGCGAUGCGUUGAGCUAACCGGUACUAAUGAACCGUGAGGCUUAACCUU